UUGGUUAAGUUAGAAAGGGCGCACGGUGGAUGCCUUGGCACUAGGAGCCGAAGAAGGACGGGACUAACACCGAUAUGCUUUGGGGAGCUGUACGUAAGCGUUGAUCCAGAGAUUUCCGAAUGGGGGAACCCACUAUCUUUAGUCGGAUAGUAUCCUUACGUGAAUACAUAGCGUGAGGAAGGCAGACCCAGGGAACUGAAACAUCUAAGUACCUGGAGGAAGAGAAAGAAAAAUCGAUUUCCUGAGUAGCGGCGAGCGAAACGGAAAGAGCCCAAACCAAGAAGCUUGCUUCUUGGGGUUGUAGGACACUCUAUACGGAGUUACAAAAGAAAGUUAUAAAUGAAGCGGUCUGGAAAGGCCCGCCAAAGACGGUAACAGCCCGGUAGUUGAAAUGGCUUUCUCUCCAGAGUGGAUCCUGAGUACGGCGGAACACGUGAAAUUCCGUCGGAAUCCGGGAGGACCAUCUCCCAAGGCUAAAUACUCCCUAGUGACCGAUAGUGAACCAGUACCGUGAGGGAAAGGUGAAAAGCACCCCGGAAGGGGAGUGAAACAGUUCCUGAAACCGUGUGCCUACAAGUAGUUAGAGCCCGUUAAUGGGUGAUAGCGUGCCUUUUGUAGAAUGAACCGGCGAGUUACGAUUUGUUGCAAGGUUAAGCGGAAAAAGCGGAGCCGUAGCGAAAGCGAGUCUGAAUAGGGCGCAUAAGUAACAGGUCGUAGACCCGAAACCAGGUGAUCUACCCAUGUCCAGGAUGAAGGUAAGGUAAUACUUACUGGAGGUCCGAACCCACGCACGUUGAAAAGUGCGGGGAUGAGGUGUGGGUAGCGGAGAAAUUCCAAUCGAACUUGGAGAUAGCUGGUUCUCUCCGAAAUAGCUUUAGGGCUAGCCUCGAGGUAAAGAGUCAUGGAGGUAGAGCACUGUUUGGACUAGGGGCCCUUCUCGGGUUACCGAAUUCAGAUAAACUCCGAAUGCCAUGUACUUAUACUCGGGAGUCAGACUGCGAGUGAUAAGAUCCGUAGUCGAAAGGGAAACAGCCCAGACCACCAGUUAAGGUCCCCAAAUAUAUGUUAAGUGGAAAAGGAUGUGGGGUUGCUUAGACAACCAGGAUGUUGGCUUAGAAGCAGCCACCAUUGAAAGAGUGCGUAAUAGCUCACUGGUCGAGUGACCCCGCGCCGAAAAUGUACCGGGGCUAAACAUAUUACCGAAACUGUGGAUGAACCUCUUUAGAGGUUCGUGGUAGGAGAGCGUUCUAAGGGCGGUGAAGUCAGACCGGAAGGACUGGUGGAGCGCUUAGAAGUGAGAAUGCCGGUAUGAGUAGCGAAAGAAGGGUGAGAAUCCCUUCCACCGAAUAUCUAAGGUUUCCUGAGGAAGGCUCGUCCGCUCAGGGUUAGUCGGGACCUAAGCCGAGGCCGAUAGGCGUAGGCGAUGGACAACAGGUAGAGAUUCCUGUACCAGUGCUAAUUGUUUAACCGAUGGGGUGACACAGAAGGAUAGGGAAUCGCACGAAUGGAAAUGUGCGUCCAAGCAGUGAGUGUGAGA
rnacentral:rRNA from 1 species